AAUAAAAAAAUAAUAAGUAAAUAUACAAUAUUAGAAUAGGUAAAUAUUCAGAUACAUAACCUAAAAAUAAUUUAUAUUUAAUUCUUUGACAAGUUUUGAAAUUAAGAACACUUUAAUUUGACUAUAGUCAUACUUUAUAUGCAAAAUAUAGUAAAACAAAAUUCUAUGAAUUUCAAAACUUGUCAAUUACUUUGGCAAGAAAAUCUUGUCAAUUAUUUCAUAUUUAAGGGAUUUGAUCAUUUUUAUCAGACUGUAAUAAUUUGGUUUUAAUUGUAUUAUAAAUAUAAUUAUCCAUAUAAUUUUAAACUUGGAUCUGAUGACUUUUGAGUUAUUAAUUACACAAAAUCAUGAAGUUUUUAAGCAUAUCCUCAUAUUUGGAUAUAUAUAAUUAAUGUUUUGUUGCCUGUAUUUCCACAAUUCACAUAUAAAUACUUCUUUGAUAAUUUUUUUAUUAUGCAUCCUACUUAAUAAUAUACACAUUUCUUCCAAAGAAAAAAAAAACAUUGUGAUGGAAGCUCUAGGAACCGAUACUAAACAUGGUCGUUGUUGCGUUUGCAUGGUGAAAAACAAAAUAUGUACCAGAAAAUGUGAAUUUUCUGCAUAUUUUCCAAAUGAAAUGCAAGACGAUUAUGAAGCUGCUACUAAACUGUUUGGUACACAAAAUAUUAUAAGAAUGAUGAAACUUGCUGCUCAUGAACAAAAACAUUUGUUAGCAUCAUCGAUACUCAAAGAAGGUGCUGCAUGGACCGAUGAUAAUAUCGGAGGUGGAUAUGGAGUGAUACAAAAGCUGAGGUGGGAAAUCGAAUUACAUGAAGCCUCCCUCUCUAAGAUAAGGAUGAAGAUUUCAGAAGAAAAAAAACAAUUAGUUCUACUUUCAAAUCAGUAUAUAUAAUGAAAUUUAUCUAUCUUGAUUUAUCCAAUAAUAAUUAUUCAAUGGUUAAUUAUAUCAAAUGUUGAAAUUUAAAAUAUACAAUUUCACAAUGUAAUUGUUGCUAGCUAAUCACUUAAUUGUGCAUGCUUAUAGUGAUCAUAAAAAAAGACACUUUGAAACCUAAAAAUGAUAUCAAAUGUCAUAAAGCAAUUUUUAAUGG